AACGUUUCCACGGCCGGAGGGGGUGCAUAUUAGUUAAUUCACAUCAACUUGAGAGUUGAGAUAUAUAAUCUCUUCCAUAUCAUCCUCACUCAAUAUAUACAGAGAGCUAUCGUAAAUUAAGAUGUCAAGGUUAUAAGAAAGUAGUUAGUAUACAUCGUAUUCAUUUUGUUGCAUAUAUCCAUCCAAGUAAAGAUAAUUAAAUGGAACAUAUCUUGGUGAAAUCUCUGUUGGAGAAAUUGUUGAAGCUGUCACGUGAAGAUGCGAAUUUGAUCGCAGGUGCAGAGACUGAAUUUCGACUUCUCCGCGAACUAGUUGAACUAGUUAACGCCUGCCUUAUCGAAGUUGCAGAAAUGAGAAGGACGCAUCAAUUGAGAGAAGAUUUGAGCAUGCGCAUUAUAACUGCAGUAUAUAGAUGUGAGGACGGCAUUGAUAACUUCCUGGUUCACCAACUGAAAAAUAAAUGGCCAAAAUUCGUAGAUUCUGACCGCGGGAGAAGAAUAAUCGAGAAUCUUUUGGUAAAGAUCGAUGGCCUCCUUGACACGAUGAUGCCACAAUCUUCCGCCAGAGCACAAUCUCUUCCGUCCAGCCAAAAAUAUAUUCUGAUUUCAAAUACCCUGCGUGAUGUCAAGCCUACCAAGGUGCUUGAGCGUUGGAUGAUUGAGAUUAAGCAAUCUAACCCUUUCCAUUACGUUCCAAGAGAGAUGGAGGGUCCUGAGUCAGAGGAUGACGAAGUGAUCGGCUUUGAUGAGGAAGCAGAAGUAGUGAUCAAACGACUUCUUGGAGGAUCAGGCGGCUAUCAUGAUGUAAUUGUUCCUAUUGUGGGUGUGGUUGGACAGGGCAAAAGCACACUGGCAAGAAAAAUAUAUCAUGAUACUCGAAUGUCGCAUGAAUUUUUCAGCUGCUAUUGGAUUACCGUCGGCCAUUUAGGUAAGGUGAAGGAUAUUUGUCUUUCUUUUCUCAAAGGGCUGAUCACCACAAGACGCUGGGAACAAUAUGAAGAUAUGAAUGAAAAUGAAUUAGAGAAGAUAAUACUUGGUAUUUUGGAAGAAGAAAGUAGACGUCUCAUUGUCUUGGACGAUGUGCGGACCACUGAUGUUGUUGAUUUCUUCAGAAGGAUUUUUGGAAAAGAUGGGAAAGGUCACCGUAUCCUGAUGACCACUCGCCAUGUGGCUAUUUCUCAAUAUGCCAAUUCACAUCCUCAUUAUCUGAAAUUUCUGACUCCAGACGAAAGUUUUGAGUUGUUAAAAAUGAAAGUUUUCGGCCGGAGAAGUUGUCCUGAUGAGUUAAUCGAACUUGGAAAAAGAAUGGCAAAAAAAUGUAGAGGAAUACCGAUUUUGGUAGUGAUAAUUGCAGGAGCAUUAAGAGGUUGGAGGAGCCAAAUAGAAUGGCAAAUAUUCGAGGAAAAUAUGGUGGGACCUGAGAUGAAUGACGAUGACAGUACAACCAUGUAUAAAUUUCUAAACCUGAUUUACGAUCAUUUGACUGAGGAAAUGAAGUUGCGCUUCUUGUAUUUCAACAUCUUUCCGCGAGGAUUUGAUAUCCCAGCUUGGAAAUUGAUCCGCUUAUGGAUUGCUGAGUGCUUAAUAGAGUACAACCCAUCGUCAUCGCUUGAGGAGAGAGCAGAAAAAUGUUUGAAAAGCCUCGUCGAUAGGAAUCUAGUAAUGGUGAUCCAAAAAAGCUCUUGUGGUCAUAUAAAAACAUGUCGUGUUCAUGACCUUUGGCACGACUUUUGCAAAGAGGAGGCCAAAAGAUGGUCUUUUCAACAAGUAUCUGAAGAUAUUGGCAGUAGAAUACCAGAGACUACUCGUCAAUUGUGUGUUCAAUCCUCUGUUCUGAAUGAUUUUCUCUCCAGAAAGCCAUUUGGAGAGCAUCUUAGAUCUUUUUACUGUUUUACCUCAAAACAAAGUCAAGUGAGGAGGUCGCUAAGUGACAUCAAACACAUCACCAAAGCCUUUCCAUUGCUUAGGGUUUUGGACUUUGACUCCGGCCAUCUUGUUUUCUCCAAAGAGUUUCUCCAAUUAUUUCUAUUGAGAUAUAUUGCUAUCUCAGGUGACUUCAAGGUUAUUCCUGAACCCUUGGGUAAAUUCUUAUAUUUACAAACUCUUAUACUUAAUACAUCAAAUUCCACCCUUGAGAUAAAAGCAAACAUAUGGAAGUUGUUGCGGUUGAGGCAUCUUCACACCAACGUCCCUGCAGAAUUGCCGCCACCUCCUAUCCCAACAGGUGAACCUUCUUGCCUACAAACUCUUUCUCUGAUUACACCGAAAAGUUGCACGAAAGAUGUCUUUGCAAAAGCUUGUAAUCUAAAAAAGUUGGGUAUCCGAGGGAAUAUGGAGGCUUUCCUUGAAACUAGCAAGGGUGGAUGGCGAAAUCUUGGAGAGCUAAAGUGCCUGGAACGUUUGAUGAUAUACAAUGAUGGUUCUAAUUACUCGAGUAAACCUCAUCUUCCUCCAUCAUUCUUCAAGAUUCGACGCACACUGAAGAAGUUAACUCUGUCUAAGACGAUGUUUGAUUGGAGCGAGGCAGAUAUAUUGGGGCAGUUGGAAUGCCUCGAGGUCCUGAAAUUGAAAGAAAAUGCAUUCAAGGGGAUGUCCUGGGAAGUGGAGCGAGGUGCUUUUAAUAACCUCCAGGUCUUAUGGAUUGAAGGGGCAGACUUGAAAAAUUGGGAGGCUUCAGAAUAUCAUUUCCCAAAACUUAGGCACCUUGUUCUUAAAUUUUGUGAAAAUCUUCAAGCAGUGCCAUAUGAGCUGGCUGAUGUUCCUAGCUUUGAAGAGAUGAAGCUGGAGAACACAAGAAAAGCAGCUGAGUCAGCGAGAGAAAUACAGCGCAGGAAACUCAUGAAAAGCAUCAAAUUCAAGCUCACGUUAUCGCCCCCUGAUACUGAAUAGAUGGUCACAUCCAGUUGAAAGGGUAUAUCGGAAACAACCUCUCUACUCCCUCGGGUAGUGAUAAGGAGAGAUCGAGGUAUGAUGAUGCUGGGAGCUAGGAUCAUGGACAAAUAGAGUACUCUUUGAUAUUGUUGAAAGACAUGUUAUUCCGUUUUUUUUCUUGCUUUGACAUAAAAGACAUGUCAUUCCAACUAGAUAAACUAUUAUACAAGCAGGGGCGGAUUUAGCCGAACCCCCUUCGUCGAAAAAUUAUACUGUAUAUAUAAGCCAAAAUCUGUUUCUUAUCUCUAUAUAUUAAGUUUUGAAUCCCCUUGACACAACCCAAAAAUAUAGCUUAGUGAUCAAUAGAUCAUAGGUUCAAUUCCCAUUAGUUAUAAUCCUUUCUAACUUUUUUCUUUUUGAACUGCUUAGCUGAGAUCCUCCUUCCGCCACUGUAUACAAGUCUUGUUUGUUUCUCAUUAUUUUGAAUGGACAGUUUCAGUCAA